rnacentral:rRNA from 1 species
CCUACGGGGGGCAGCAGUGAGGAAUAUUGGUCAAUGGGCUUACGCCUGAACCAGCCAAGUCGCGUGAGGGAAGACUGCCCUAUGGGUUGUAAACCUCUUUUGUCAGGGAGCAACGCCGGCUACGUGUAGCCGGACUGAGAGUACCUGAAGAAAAAGCAUCGGCUAACUACGUGACAGCAGCCGCGGGAAUACGGAGGAUGCGAGCUUUAUCCGGAUUUAUUGGGUUUAAAUGGAGCGCAGGCGGAAGACCAAGUCAGCGGUAAUAUUGAGGGGCUCAACCUCUACGAGCCGUUGAAACUGGUUUUCUUGAGUGAGCGAGAAGGAUGCGGAAUGCGUGGUGUAGCGGUGAAAUGCAUAGAUAUCACGCAGAACUCCGAUUGCGAAGGCAGCAUACCGGCGCUCAACUGACGCUCAUGCACGAAAGUGUGGGUAUCGAACAGGAUUAGAUACCCUGGUAGUC